CCCUUCAGAGGGGGGAAACAGUUGGAAACGACUGCUAAUACCGCAUACGAUCUAAUCUCGGCAUCGAGGAUGGAUGAAAGGUGGCCUCUAUUUAUAAGCUAUCACUGAAGGAGGGGAUUGCGUCUGAUUAGCUAGUUGGAGGGGUAACGGCCCACCAAGGCGAUGAUCAGUAGCCGGUCUGAGAGGAUGAACGGCCACAUUGGGACUGAGACACGGCCCAG
rnacentral:rRNA from 1 species